rnacentral:rRNA from 1 species
AACGAACGCUGGCGGCAUGCCUAACACAUGCAAGUCGAACGAACCCUUCGGGUCUUGUCGCGCCCGAGGUCGUCACGCGUGGGAACCUUCCCUUGUGUUUGGAAUAACUCCCCGACAGGGGUGCUAAUACCGGACCAUGUCUUCUGACCGAAGAUUUAUCGCGUUUGGUUGGGCACUCGUUGAAUUAGCUUGUGGGGAGGGUUAUAGCCUACCAAGGGGACGAUUAAUAGCUGGGCUGAGAGGAUGGUCAGCCACACUGGGAGUGGGACACGGCCCGGACUCCUACGGGAGGCAGCAGUGGGUGACAUUGGACAGUGGGCGGAAGCCUGAUCCAGCAAUGCCGCGUGAGUGAUGAAGGCCUUAGGGUUGUAAAGCGCUUUUACCCGGGAUGAUAAUGACAGUACCGGGAGAAUAAGCUCCGGCUAACUCCGUG